AAUAACACUAUUCGAAACAUAAAAAACUAGUAUUUAUCUUUAUUAUUUUACAUCAAAACACUUUUUCAAAUCACACACACACAAAAAAAAAGAAAAAAAAAAAAAAAAACAGGCUCUCUGAAACACAUUAUUCUGCAAUACAUCCUCUAACCUUUAACAAGUAGUAAAAUAAGGUAGAGACCAAAGUCUCUUCAGUUAGUGGAUUUUUAAGGGUAUAAUUGUCUUUUCAUAUUCUAUAAAAAUAUGAAAGGACAACUAUGCCCCUAAAAAUACACUAACCGGAGAGAAUCCAACGGAGAGGAUCCAAAUGCCCAAAGUACUGGGUACCCAUUGCCAACAGAGUUUGCCAGAACCCAGAAACAACCCGUCAUACCACGCCUAACAAACAAGGGAAGCCAACCAUGUGAAGACGGCAGGAGCAGCAGCCCAUAAGAAAACAACCACUGACGCCAGCAUGGCCCCGGAGCCUAAACGUCGGAAAAUCCUGGCGGCCUUGGGAUUCCUGUCGCGGAAAUACAUGCAACAAUUGAAGCCACAACAAGUCCCCGCGACGCUCACAAGGAAGGCGUGGAAAGUGUAGGGUUGGCCCUUAAAGAUAAUGGUGGGAGCAGGGUUGCCAUCUAUGUCUUCCAUAGGUAACUGCAAGAAGAACACCGCUACAAAGGUAGAGAUGGUGUAUACAAUUUCAUCGUACCAGUCCCGUACAAGUUUAUGGAUUGACGGCCGGACCCUUUCCCUGUUGCUGUCCGCCGCCUGAUCCGGCACGCUGCAAACUUUGCCUUCCAUUGAUGACAUGUGUUAUAUAGCAUCAAUGUCGUAUUUAUAGUACCCAGAUCAGAUCGAGAGUAUGUAUGGCAAGAAAGUGCAUAGGAGGUUUCUUGAAUGGUUCCCUGACGAUUGUAAAGAAAUCGUCAGGGCAGAGGACUCAGAGGAGGUUUCUUUGCACCUUCAACUUUUUGUUUAGCAUUGACUACGGAAGGAACAAAGAAAGACGACGCAAGUUCCUGGAAAUUUCAAGAAGAUUUGACUGAAUGGGCCCAUUCCCAUCUUUUCUUUUUUGAGAAAUGCUACGCUUACCCACCAGGAUUCCACUGCCAUCCCACCCGUCUUACGUGGCAUUAUUAUUAUUUUUCUUUUUUCUUUUUGAGUUUUGAAUCCUAAAAGGCUAAACGCGUUGGGAGGGGUAAUUUUUGUCAUUUUCCCUCCCAACGCGUCUCUCUCUCUCUCUCUUCUCCGGCUGGCCGUUCGUCCUUCACCGGCGCCAUCUCCACCGGCCCGCAUCUCUAUCGCCCGUUCUUCUUCUUCGGCAACGUGUUCGUGUUUCGUGUCUCCGGCGUUAUUCAACUUCCUGCAGGUCCGGAAUCUCUAUGAGAUGAAAUCUAGGGCCCUGUUGUAGUGCCCCUUCCUAUCACCGCCUUGUGGAUCUUCGAUGUAGCAGUGUCAAUGUAGUUAUAAUCUUGCGUGGGAUGGAAUAGGCUUGAAUUGUGAAGGAUCUUUCUCUAGGUGUUUUCAGUGUGUAUAGUACUGAUUUUGAUCUACUUCUAGAUGUAAGUUGUAGUUCACCUUCAUUUCUAGUUAUUCAAAUUGAUAUAAUAGGUUCACCUUCAUUUAUAGUUAUUCAAAUUGAAUGGAAGUUGCUCAAUGUGGACUUUUCUGAUUUUAAGCUUUUUUGUAUAGGUAUGAUUAUCUAAAAUUGUUUAAUGUAUGAAAAGGAUCAUUGUAAUA